GAUGAACGCUGGCGGCGUGCUUAACACAUGCAAGUCGAACGGUGAAGCCCUUCGGGGUGGAUCAGUGGCGAACGGGUGAGUAACACGUGAGCAACCUGCCCCUGGCUCUGGGACAACCACUGGAAACGGUGGCUAAUACCGGAUACGACCCGCCUCGGCAUCGAGUGUGGGUGGAAAGUUUUUCGGCUGGGGAUGGGCUCGCGGCCUAUCAGCUUGUUGGUGAGGUGAAGGCUCUCCAAGGCGACGACGGGUAGCCGGCCUGAGAGGGCGACCGGCCACACUGGGACUGAGACACGGCCCAGACUCCUACGGGAGGCAGCAGUGGGGAAUAUUGCACAAUGGGCGAAAGCCUGAUGCAGCGACGCCGCGUGAGGGAUGACGGCCUUCGGGUUGUAAACCUCUUUCAGCUCCGAAGAAGCGAAAGUGACGGUAGGAGCAGAAGAAGCACCGGCUAACUACGUG
rnacentral:rRNA from 1 species